UACGAAGGGGGCUAGCGUUGUUCGGAAUUACUGGGCGUAAAGCGUGCGCAGGCGGCUGCUCAAGUCAGGGGUGAAAGCCCAGAGCUCAACUCUGGAAUUGCCUUUGAGACUGAGUGGCUUGAGUGCGGGAGAGGUGAGUGGAAUUCCCAGUGUAGAGGUGAAAUUCGUAGAUAUUGGGAAGAACACCGGUGGCGAAGGCGGCUCACUGGCCCGUAACUGACGCUCAUGCACGACAGCGUGGGGAUCAAACAGG
rnacentral:rRNA from 1 species